GAGUUUGAUCAUGGCUCAGGACGAACGCUGGCGGCGCGCCUAACACAUGCAAGUCGAACGGAGUUACUCUGAAUGAAGUUUUCGGAUGGAAGCUCAAGUGACUGAGUGGCGGACGGGUGAGUAACGCGUGGGUAACCUGCCUCAUACAGGGGGAUAACAGUUAGAAAUGACUGCUAAUACCGCAUAAGCACACGUGAUCGCAUGAUCGAGUGUGAAAAACUCCGGUGGUAUGAGAUGGACCCGCGUCUGAUUAGCUAGUUGGUGGGGUAAUGGCCCACCAAGGCGACGAUCAGUAGCCGGCCUGAGAGGGUGAACGGCCACAUUGGGACUGAGACACGGCCCAAACUCCUACGGGAGGCAGCAGUGGGGGAUAUUGCACAAUGGGGAAACCCUGAAUGCAGCGACGCCGCGUGGAGGAAGAAGGUUUU
rnacentral:rRNA from 1 species